AUUGAACGCUGGCGGCAGGCCUAACACAUGCAAGUCGAACGGUAGCACAGAGAGCUUGCUCUCGGGUGACGAGUGGCGGACGGGUGAGUAAUGUCUGGGAAACUGCCCGAUGGAGGGGGAUAACUACUGGAAACGGUAGCUAAUACCGCAUAACGUCGCAAGACCAAAGUGGGGGACCUUCGGGCCUCACACCAUCGGAUGUGCCCAGAUUGGAUUAGCUAGGAGGUGGGGUAAUGGCUCACCUAGGCGACGAUCCCUAGCUGGUCUGAGAGGAUGACCAGCCACACUGGAACUGAGACACGGUCCAGACUCCUACGGGAGGCAGCAGUGGGGAAUAUUGCACAAUGGGCGCAAGCCUGAUGCAGCCAUGCCGCGUGUAUGAAGAAGGCCUUCGGGUUGUAAAGUACUUUCAGCGGGGAGGAAGGCGGUGGAGUUAAUAACUUCACCGAUUGGCGUUACCCGCAGAAGAAGCACCGGCUAACUCCGUGCCAGCCGCCGCAGUAA
rnacentral:rRNA from 1 species